CCAAUAGCGUAUAUUAAAGUUGUUGCAGUUAAAAAGCUCGUAGUUGAAUUUCGGGACCAAUAUGUCUGUCGUGCCUUCGGUACGUACGGGUAUAAUUGGUUCCUACCUUCUGAUGAACCUUGAUGCCAUUAAUUUGGUGUCUUGGGGACUCAGGACUGUUACCUUGAAAAAAUUAGAGUGUUUAAAGCAGGCAUGCGCUUGAAUACAUUAGCAUGGAAUAAUGAAAUAGGACGUUCGAUUCUAUUUUGUUGGUUUCUAGGAUCGACGUAAUGAUUAAUAGGGAUAGUUGGGGGCAUUAGUAUUCAAUUGUCAGAGGUGAAAUUCUUGGAUUUAUUGAAGACUAACUACUGCGAAAGCAUUUGCCAAGGAUGUUUUCAUUAAUCAAGAACGAAAGUUAGGGGAUCGAAGACGAUCAGAUACCGUCGUAGUCUUAACCAUAAACUAUGCCGACUAGGGAUCGGAUGAUGUUGAUUUUUUAAUGACUCAUUCGGCGCCUUAC
rnacentral:rRNA from 1 species